rnacentral:siRNA from 1 species
GGUAGAGUGGUGUGGUCGAGUAG